rnacentral:rRNA from 1 species
GUCUGGUGCCAGCAGCCGCGGUAAUUCCAGCUCCAAUAGCGUAUAUUAAAGUUGUUGCAGUUAAAAAGCUCGUAGUUGAAUUUCGGGAUCAAUAUUUCGGUCAUGCCGUUGGUAUGCACUGUUAUCAUUGAUUUCUCACCUUCUAAAGAACCGUAAUGCCAUUAAUUUGGUGUUACGGGGAAUUAGGACUGUUACCUUGAAAAAAUUAGAGUGUUUAAAGCAGGCUCACGCUUGAAUACAUUAGCAUGGAAUAAUGAAAUAGGACAUCCGAUUCUAUUUUGUUGGUUUCUAGGAUCGAUGUAAUGAUUAAUAGGGAUAGUUGGGGGCAUUAGUAUUCAAUUGUCAGAGGUGAAAUUCUUGGAUUUAUUGAAGACUAACUACUGCGAAAGCAUUUGCCAAGGAUGUUUUCAUUAAUCAAGAACGAAAGUUAGGGGAUCGAAGACGAUCAGAUACCGUCGUAGUCUUAACCAUAAACUAUGCCGACUAGGGAUCGGAUGAUGUUAAUUUUUUAAUGACUCAUUCGGCGCCUUACGGGAAA